CUCUCCCCUUCCUUCCUGGUUAACAGAUAACUGUAGGGCACAUACCUAUUUGACAGAUCUUUCUUUUUCUUUCAUAAUUUCCAAAAGUAGAAAGAACACUUGCAUAGAAUUAUCCAGGGUGCUUGUCAGAGAUUCACGCCCCAAAGUCUCACCUCAGACCUACAGAAUCAGCCUCUGCCGCCUGGGGUGUGGGCACUGACAUCUGCACGUGGCUAGUGGCCCGGGAGAUGCUCACAGACGCUGAAGGCCGAAAGCCCCCCACGGUGGGCUAUAAACUCCUUGAGCCCAUCCUGUUUCCACAUGGCAGCAAGAUGCAAGGCUGGGCCCAGUGUCUGACACCUGGCGAUCCGUCAUUGCAUCCUUGGGCAACUCAGCUCCUCACCUCUUGGAUGCCUGGGGUCACCAAAUUGGAAGUGUCUGACGCAGAAAAGGAUGGCUGAAGGCUUGCCUUGACCCAAGCCAGUACAUUGUCGUUUGCAGAGUGUCAGAUCCAGAAGGACUCUAAGCAAGAAAUUUCUGAGCGUGAGAACAAAGAUGACUGGGCUUCAAAAUCUGGUUCCACCAUCACUUACCAGCAAGACAACUUUGGACGUGUUGCAGCACCUCUCUGUACUUCACCUUCCUCAACUGUAAAAAUAAGACAAUAACAGAACCAUCUUCCUGGGAGGAUAACUUACGAUUACACGGGACACAUGCACACCAAUGCACAUGUACGCCCAUGCAUGCGCACACACAAACAUGUGUGCAUGAACACACGGUACCUCACAAAGUGCCGGGCACCUGCGAACUGCGAAUUGACUGCUGUUGCUGGAGGCUUACUAUACCCUAAGCACAGUGCUGAGUGCCAUAGCUGGAUUUUCCCAUCAAAUCCUCACCACCUGAGCCCAGAUGUCUGCCCACCACUCGUACUGCCUUCUUCAUAGGCGAUGGGUCUUAUGAUCAUUGUCAAGCACACGGCCAAGCCUCUCCCAUCUCCUGUCGCUGCGUCUGGGUCCUGGGACUCUGUACUUGGAACAGAGUGGGACUUGCUGAGAAGAGCUCUGAUCCUGGGAUGGGGAAGCAGGUUGAGGGUAGAAUACAGACCACCAGGUUCCGAGUGAGGGUUGGAGGGUCUCAAAAACUGUGAGUAGAAACAGUACUCAUUUUACAGUCAGAUCUAGCCUUUGCUGCUUGUGAUUCCUGAAAACGUUGUCCAAAGCGCAUUGAGAUCUCCCCAUCACUAGGAAGGAUACCUGCUCCUCCCCCAAGUCCCCUGACCUACAUCUUCUCAGGAUCAGAAGGGCGUUCACCCCUAGCCAGGUGGGCUGCAGAUCAGGGAGUAGGAACUUGGGCUCCCUCUAGUGAGACAGUGGGGGACCUGCGUUCUAGGCGCAGAGCAGCCUCUCUGUAGGACUUCCUCCCUGUCAAGAAGAUGGUGGGGUUGAGAGAGUCCUGGUCAAAAAUAGCCCCUCCUGUGGCUGCCAAGAACGGCAACAACUCCCCAGCAGAGCUGUCAGGAAAGCUCGCUCUUCUGAGGUCGUUGCCUCUGUACCUAAACUUCCCCCAGCUGUGCACACACAGAUCCCUGGGUUCUGGCCCCAUGUAGCUCCCUCAGCCCCUGCACCUAAACUUCCCCCAGCUGUGCACACACAGAUCCCUGAGUUCUGGCCCCAUGUAGCUCCCUCAGCCUCCACACCAUACUCUUUGCCACACCAAACAAGCACUGCUUUCCCUGCUGGGCCCGUUGGGCUGGGCUUGCCCCUGGCCCCUUCCUGCUCACCCCGCUGCUCCCUACCGACUGGGGGUGGGCCAUGACAGAGAUUGGCCCUGAGCCCCAUUUCCGUGCUCAGCUUUUCCUCCUGGAAGCCACCCCAUAGUAUUUUUGGAGUCACUUAACAUCCUAACGAUUAGCAAACUCUUGCAACCAGAUGCCUGGGCUCUGCUGAGUCAGCAGAUGUCCCAACAGCAGUGGAGAACAGACCGUGGGCAGUGUCACUUCGAAUGAGUCUCGUGACCUCUCAGGGCUGCAGUCUCCUUGUCUGAAAACUGAAACAAAAGGCUGAGGUUAAAAGUGACAAAAUAUGGGAAAGCACUUUGGAAAGUAUAAUGCACAAGCCCCUGUUAGUAUUUCUAUUAUGUUUGAAACCGGGAAAUCAGCUGAGAUGCCUUAUCCUUUAGGAUUCCAAUGGCUUUUCUUGGAUGUCCCCCCACCACGACCAUGUAGUGGGCCCCUUCUGCUCUCAGUCUCUCUGCUAUUAUGUAGAUGUGGGGAGAGGUGUACGGAGGUCAGGGUAUUCCCAGUCACCUGGACUUCUGAGCACCUGCUGACACUGAAUUAGGCCAGCUUAGGGACCUGCUUGGUUUCAUAGGUACCCUGAUUCUCUUCUGCAUCAAAUCCAUCUGAAUUUGUAAUUCAAUCCCUUCUCCUAAUUUUCACUUUAAAAAUCUGACAAAUCCUUUGUAUGUAGCCAACGUCACGGGAAGUCUGGGGAGACAGACGGAGCUUACCUCACAGCCACACAGACAACUUAAAGAGAAAGCAGACACACAGGAAGAAGUCCACGUGAAGAUCAAAGCAGGUUGAGAGGGAUGUAUCUACAAGCCAAGGAAUGCCCAGGACUGUCGGCAAUCACUGGAAGCUAGGAGAGGCAGGGAGCGGAUUCCCCCCUCAGCCUCCAGAAGGAACCAACCCUACCAACACCUUGAUAUCAAACUUCUGGGCUCCAGAACUAAACUUUAGAACGCUGGUGGCUUUUGACUCCCUCCCAUCCCUGAGACUUUCCUCUGAUCAGUCACCAGUCCCAUUGACUCCACUUCCUCCCCUGGAGUGAAUCACCAAGUCUGCCUGAGAGCCUCCACUUCCCCAUCUGUAAAAUGGUGUCCUUCCCUUGUGUGGGAUGGAAGAGAGAAGCAACUGGGUGUAGCUGAGAGUUCCAUGUCCUAUGAAGUGAAUUCUCCAUUCAGAGGGCGGUACUCUCCUUGGCAAAAUGGUCAGCUUGACCAAGAGGCGACACAUGCUCUUAUUUGAGAAAUCAAGGUUUCAAGGCCUCUAUUCUGACGGAAGCAGCACAGCUUGGAAGAUUCUGCUGAGACCUGUGCCCCCCAGAUUACACCCCAGACCCUCAUCCACAUACACCCCUUCUCCAGUCAAACCACAAAAAAAUAUGGGAGAACUAGCCUGACAGCUGAGACUGCACAGAGGGGAAAGAAAUGAAAUACCACCCAGCAAGCAUUGCUAUUGUAAUUCCAGUCUAGCCAAUUUUCACUUUUUGCUGGCAUGAGCUGGUUUAGAAGCAGAGGCAGGUAAUCGGGCAGGGAUCAGGGAGGGAGAUGUGAUUCUGCGGCUUGUGUCUGAGAGGCUGGGGUUAGCCCACCCCAAUUUUCUUUCCAUAAUCUUUUGAUUAACCCUGAGCCAGUUUGGGUGUCAUUUUUCAAACCAUCUGUGCUUGACAAGCAGAGCCAAGCCCAGGCUUGCAGCUCGCUAUCUGUAAACAUCAGCUGGGAACCUGCUGUGCCUUGGAGCCUGGGAUACGCCUAAGACACCAGGCAUAUUGGACUGCAGUCCAUCCAGCCCUGGCCCUGCGAGUUACCUACUUUUGUUAUUCCCAUCCUGGAGCUGGGAGAGGUUGAAUAACUUGCCCAAGGUCACAAAGCCAGAGCUGUGACUCUGAAGAUCCCAUACGGUACCAAAGGAACACUCUGUGUCAAACCCCUCAGCAUCAUCACCCCUGGGAUGGACUGAAUUGUGUCCCCCCAGAUUCAUAAGUUGAAGUGCUAACUUCGAUGUAACUGUAUUUGGAGGUAAGAUUUUUAAAAGGAAAUUAAGGUUCAAUGAGGUCUUGAGGGUGGAGGCCUGAUCCAAUAGGACCAAUGUCCUUAUAAGAAGAGGGAGAGAUGCACACAUAGAGAAAAGGCCCUGUGAGGACACAGCAAGAAGGACAGAGUGGCCAUCUACAAGCAGAGGA